UACUCGAUAUACACAAUGUUAUUAAGUUAUAAAAAAUGUAAUGGAAAUUUUCUGGUACUUUGAAUAUGAUAAAAGUAUUCCUGAUACAAUUGUUGAUUCUCAACAGCACAGUUAGUCAAUUUCUAAACACACCUGGAUAUAUGCCUUAUCCGCAGAGAUAUUACGAUGAAUAUGACUAUACACGAUUAGGAAGGCAAAGGUUUCACCGACGAAGUGGUGGAAAAUUCCCUGAGUAUUCCGCAGAUUCCAACUACGAUUAUGGAAGAGCAAAUUGUAGAUGCUCUUGUAGAAAUUGUGAAAAUAUAAAACCCUGCUGCGUCUCUGUAUGCGAUAACUGUAACUCGCAAUCCUUAGUAUUUGUUCCAUAUCCUGUUCCCCUUGUUGUUGCUAUCACAUCGAAAUCAACUUUAAACACAUCAACAACUACAUCUACGUUAAUGACAACAACGACUACAACAACAACAACAACACCAUCAACAAAGACAGAAAAUUUACCAGAUAUAACAACGUUUUCUACGCCAACGUAUGCUAAAAUAAAACAUGCAUGGCCCAAAGCAUUGUCUACGUCUCCCUUUUUCAAUAAAAGAUUGCUUUUGGGAAAGAAAAAGAAGUGCCUUGGAGGUCAAUGUUUGAAUUACCGAAGGAUAGAUUUAAUGGACCAUUUGUUAAGAAAUAAGGAUGGCCGGCGAGCGGAGAAUUAUGAUGAUUUUGAUUUAAAACUUGAGAAAGGCCAUCAAUUCGGUAUCAUUCCUAUACCCGAUAAAAUGGCGCUAGAAUUCAUGACCAAUAUGCGGGAUAUGAAAUUAAAUGAGUUAUUACAGUCAAAGGUAUAAAGUUCCAAUUAUGACUUA